GGUGCUUGACUAUCAGGCCAAGAUCAUUUCUCUGCCCCUUGUUAUUAUAAAUAUGAGAACUCUUUGUUUGCCUUACAUGAAGCAAUAUCAUCUCCACUAUCUCAUCUUUCAACAGUAUCAUCAGCCAUGAAGAGGUUUAAUUAUAUCUUUACUCUUCUUUUUUUUCUGGCCCUCCCUCUACCAGCUAGAUUUGGCUUGGAUGAUGGUGUUAUGGAGGCCUCCACCUGCUGGAAGAUUUUGGGCCAUUGCAGAAUAAUUUGUUACCUAAAUGAAAUGCAAAUUGGCUCAUGUCCUGCUCCUAAAAACAUGUGCUGUAUAUAUCAACCAGUAAUGAGAGAUGAUUGAAAGAAAAAAUCCUCUUGAUAAAAAAUAAGCAUGAUCACUGGCCCCAGGAGAAAAGAAACAUGUUGGAACCCUCACAAGUAGGAUCUCAGUAAUAAAGAUGAAAAAAUUAACUAAA